rnacentral:rRNA from 1 species
GCGAACGCUGGCGGCAGGCCUAACACAUGCAGGUCGAACGGAUCCUUCGGGAUUAGUGGCGGACGGGUGAGUAACACGUGGGAACGUGCCCUUUGGUUCGGAACAACUCAGGGAAACUUGAGCUAAUACCGGAUGUGCCCUUCGGGGGAAAGAUUUAUCGCCAUUGGAGCGGCCCGCGUCUGAUUAGCUAGUUGGUGAGGUAACGGCCCACCAAGGCGACGAUCAGUAGCUGGUCUGAGAGGAUGAUCAGCCACACUGGGACUGAGACACGGCCCAGACUCCUACGGGAGGCAGCAGUGGGGAAUCUUGCGCAAUGGGCGAAAGCCUGACGCAGCCAUGCCGCGUGAAUGAUGAAGGUCUUAGGAUUGUAAAAUUCUUUCAGCGGGGACGAUAAUGACGGUACCCGCAGAAGAAGCGCCGGCUAACUUCGUG